AUGGACAGCUUGGCUGGUGGCACUGCCACUGUCCCCAGUAAGGCCAGCCCAUCCAGUGGCAGUGCCAGCCCUGGGGACAGGCCUGUCACCAGGAGUGCCACCAUUCCCACCAGGGACAGCCCAGCUGGUGGCAGUGCCACCGUCCCUGUCAGGGACAAGCCCAUCAGUGGCAGUGCCACCAUCCCAGUCAGGGACAAGCCCAUCAGUGGCAGUGCCACCCCUGGGGACAGGUCGGUCACCAGGAGUGCCACUGUCCCCACUGUCCCUGCCAAGGCCAGCCCAUCCAGUGGCAGUGCCACCCCUGGGGACAGGCCAGGCAGGGGCAGUGCCACUGUCCCCAGUAAGGACAUUUCAUCCAGGGACAGUGGCACCCCUGGGGACAGGCCUGUCACCAGGAGUGCCACCAUCCCCACCAGGGACAGCCCGGUCAGUGGUGCCACUGUCCCCAGUAAGGCCAGUGCCACCUCUGGGGACAGGCCGGGCAGGGCCAGUGUCACCAUCCCUGGCAGGGACAGGUUAGUGAGAGACAGUGCCACCCCUGGGGACAGGACAGUCAGAGACAGUGCCACCAUCCCUGGCAGGGACAGGUCACCCAGAGAUAGUGCCACCCCUGGGGACAGGCAGGGCAGGGCCAGUGUCACCUCUGGGGACAGGUUAGUGAGAGACAGUGGCACCCCUGGGGACAGGCAGGGCAGGGCCAGUGUCACCAUCCCUGUCAGGGACAGCGCAGCCAGGGCCACUGCUGUUGGGGACAGGCCAGUCAGGAGCAGUGCCACCAUUGGGGACAGGCCAGGCAGGGACAGUGCCACCACUGGGGACAGGAGCAGUGGCAGUGCCACCCCUGGGGACAGGCCAGGCAGUGCCACCGUCCCCAUCAGGGACAGGUCACCCAGAGACAGUGGCACCGUUGGGGACAGGAGCAGUGGCAGUGCCACCAUCCCUGUCAGGGACAGGUCACCCAGAGACAGUGGCACAGGGGACAGGCCAGGCAGGGACAGAUCGCACAGGGCCAUCGCCACCAUGCCCAGCAGGGACAGGCCACACAGGCCCAGCGACAGUGGGGACAGACUGGGCAGUGCCACCACAGGGGACAGGCCUGGCAGUGCCACCAUGCCCAGCAGGGACAGGCCACACAGGCCCAGUGACAGUGGGGACAGGCCUGGCAGUGCCACCACAGGGGACAGGCCUGGCAGUGCCACCAUGCCCAGCAGGGACAGGCCACACAGGCCCAGCGACAGUGGGGACAGACUGGGCAGUGCCACCACAGGGGACAGGCCUGGCAGUGCCACCGUGCCCAGCAGGGACAGGCCGCACAGGCCCAGUGACUUUGGGGACAGGAGCAGUGACACCACAGGGGACAGGCCUGGCAGUGCCACCACAAGGGACAGGCCUGGCAGUGCCACCGUCCCUGUCAGGGACAGAUCACACAGGCCCAGUGACAGUGGGGACAGACUGGGCAGUGCCACCGUCCCUGUCAGGGACAGGCCACACAGGCCCAGUGACAGUGGGGACAGACUGGGCAGUGCCACUGUCCCCGUCAGGGACAGGUCACACAGGGGCAGUGGCUCUGAGGACAGGAGCAGUGGCAGUGCCACCCUGCCCAGCAGGGACAGGCCACUCAGAGACAGUGACAGUGGGGACAGGAGCAGUGGCAGUGCCACCGUGCCCAGCAGGGACAGGCCGCACAGGCCCAGUGACUUUGGUGACAGGAGCAGUGGCAGUGCCACUGUCCCUGUCAGGGACAGAUCACACAGGGGCAGUGACAGUGGGGACAGGAGCAGUGGCACUGUCCCUGUCAGGGACAGCCCAGCUGGGGGCAGUGGCACUGUCAGGGCCAUGCCAGUCUCUGCCAGUGUCACUGUCCUUGUUGGGGACAGGCCAGUCAGUAGGAGUGGCACCGUUGGGGACAGGCUGGUCACAGACAGUGACACCGUUGGGGACAGGCUGGUCACAGACAGUGACACUGUUGGGGACAGGCCAGUCAGUAGUAGUGGCACCAUUGGGGACAGGCUGGUCACUCUGAGUGACACCGUUGGGGACAGGCUGGUCACUGACAGUGACACUGUUGGGGACAGGCUGGUCACUGACAGUGGCACCCCUCCGGCCAGGGACCGUCCCUCCAGGGACAGUGGCACUCCAGGGGACAGGCCAUUUGCUGGCAGUGCCACUGUCCCCGUCAGGGACAGCCUAUCCAGGGGCACUGCCACCAUCGUGGACACGCCUGUCACCGCCAGUGCCGCCAUCCCCAUCAGGGACAGCCCGUUCUGGGCCGGUGACACCGCUGGGGACAGCUCGGCAGCUGGCAGUGCCACCGUCCCCAUCAGGGACUGCCCGUCCAGGGGCACUGCCACCAUCGUGGAUGCGCUGGUCACUCUCAGUGGCACCGUGAUGGACAGGAGGAUCCUGGGCAGUGUCACCGUCCCCGUCAGGGCCAGCCUGUCCAGGGGCACUGCCACCAUCGUGGACACGCCCGUCUUUGUCAGUGCCACCGUCCUGGUCGGGGACUCCAUCCCCAGGGUCACCGCCACCAUCGUGGAAUCCAGGCUGCCCGGCCCUGCCACCCUCGGGGACACGCUGGCCUGUGGCAGUGCCACCAUCCCCGGCAGGGACGGUGCCACUGUCACCUUCCCGGGCUGGCCGGGCAGGGACGGUGUCACCGUCCCUCGUGGGGAUUGGUCUGGUGGGGACAGUGCCACCAUUCCUCGUGGGGACUGGUCUGGCAGGAACAGUGCCACUGUCCCCAUCAGGGUGUGCCCAUCCAGGGACAGUGCCACCACCUCUGACAGGGACGGUGUCACUGUCCCCCGUGGGGACUGGUCUGGUGGGAACAGUGCCACCAUUCCUCGUGGGGACUGGUCUGGCAGGGACAGAGCCACCAUCUGUGACAGGGACUGGCCAGCAAGGGACAGUGACACCACCUCUGACAGGGACUGGCCAGGCAGGGACAGUGCCACUGUCCCCAUCCGGGAGUGCCCAUCCAGGGACGGUGUCACUGUCCCUCGUGGGGACUGGCCAGGCAGGGACAGUGCCACUGUCCCCAUCAGGGAGUGUCCAUCCAGGGACAGAGCCACCACCUCUGAGAGGGAGUGCCCAUCCAGGGACGGUGUCACUGUCCCUCGAGGGGAUUGGUCUGGAGGGGACAGUGCCACCGUCCCUCGUGGGGACUGGUCUGGCAGGGACAGAGCCACCACCUCUGUCAGGGAGUGCCCAUCCAGGGACAGUGCCACCAUCUGUGACAGGGACUGGCCAGGCAGGGACAGUGCCACUGUCCCCAUCCGGGAGUGCCCAUCCAGGGACGGUGUCACCCUUGGGGACAGACACGUCACUGGCAGUCCCCCCGUCACGGACACACCCAUCAGUGGCAGCGCCACCAUCCCUGACAGGGACUGUCCUUCCCGGGGCGGUGCCACCACGGGGGACAGGCCGGGCAGUGCCACCCUUGGGGACAAGCCAAGUGCCACCGCGCCCUCCAGGCCCAUCGCGCCCGCCCGCGUCAGCGUCAUCAGGGAUGGCAGGACGGGGACCAGGGUGGCACUGCGGGGUCACAGCCAGGCCGGGUCACCCCUGGGGGACACGCAGGGACACACGAGGGCGGGCACAGCCGUGGGGUCCCCUGCGUCACACCAAUAAAAACCAGUAAAAAC
ensembl:lncRNA